rnacentral:rRNA from 1 species
GUGGGGAAUCUUCCGCAAUGGACGAAAGUCUGACGGAGCAACGCCGCGUGAGUGAUGAAGGUCUUCGGAUUGUAAAGCUCUGUUAAUCGGGACGAAAGAGUCUAGUGUGAAUAAUGCUAGGAAGUGACGGUACCGGAAUAGAAAGCCACGGCUAACUACGUGCCAGCAGCCGCGGUAAUACGUAGGUGGCAAGCGUCGUCCGGAAUUAUUGGGCGUAAAGCGCGCGCAGGCGGAUCUGCCAGUCUGUCUUAAAAGUUCGGGGCUUAACCCCGUGAUGGGAUGGAAACUACAGAUCUAGAGUAUCGGAGAGGAAAGUGGAAUUCCUAGUGUAGCGGUGAAAUGCGUAGAUAUUAGGAAGAACACCAGUGGCGAAGGCGACUUUCUGGACGAAAACUGACGCUGAGGCGCGAAAGCCAGGGGAGCGAACGGGAUUAGAUACCCGGGUAGUCC